UGUUUCGGUGGAAAGGACCUGUAUUAAGUUUUGACCUAGUAUCUUAGUAAUUGACCUAAUGAGAUUUGGAUUUGGCUGCUCCACUAAAUAUGAUGAACAAAUAGUUUCCCUGGAUGCUGAACAUGGAGCCUUACAGUUUCUAGAAUGGCUUGGCAGAAUUUCUCUUUGGGAAUUGGUGAAGAUGGGUGAAGUAUAGAUCCAGGAAGGUGGAGGGUCCCCACAAAAAAAAAGUGCCCUCACGGAGGACUGUGCACUCAGUGUCAUCAUAUACAAUGGGCAGCACACACAGGCCCCUGCUAUUCCUUUAUGAAGGACAGGGGUUGUGGAAAAGGAAAGUGGUAUAAAGUAAAUGACACAAUGACAGAAGAAUUCAACCUAAAUAAUGAGAUCCUGGAGUGUGACUGCUUUGGUGAAGAAUAUAGACCAAAAAUUUAUGAUCAAGCAAACACAUACACCUGUGUAUGUCAAUGAUAUAAUGCCCGCAUGCUCUUCCACCAGGGGGGUCUGAUGAGAAUGCCAGGGAUCACCAAAGAAGACUCGAGUCAGCUUUGUACAGCAGAAAGCUGAGGACUUCUCUUCCUGUCUAGUCAGCUCCAUCUUCACCAGCAAUUUUGUGUCAGUCAUCUCCUCGGUCCCAUGGGCCUAAUAAUGCCUGGAUGUCUGUUCUAACCAAGCUGAUUUUAAAAGGCAAGAAGAAGGGACAAUUUGGAGAAAAUGCCUGUUGGAAUAUACCAGGUAAGAAUCAUGUGAAACAUUCUAAAGUGGAGAAUUCAGGUAGA
rnacentral:lncRNA from 1 species